UCAUCUUUAAUAAUAAGAUCCAUACUAAAAUGUAUAAUAAGCUUUAUACUAAUAUCCAACUUAACUAAUAGCUAAGUUUUAUAAGUUUUGUCAUUCAAAGCAUGUACAAUCUUAGCAUUUCCAUUACAUUAGAUAGUAAUUUUAAACAUUUUGUAAAAACCAUUGUUAAAAGUGGUCAAGGAAAUUCAUCUGAUUUUCAUGUCAUUGAACUUUAUAUAAAUAGUUGGCUACGAACCCUGUUGGAGAAACACUGUUUUAAUAUGAAUUUUUUUGUUUUACAGUGCAAUUUGUAUCUUAAACAUUAACGAAAUUUGUUUUGUGUCAGUGCCAGAAAUUAAAUGUUAACCUGCAAAUUUCAUAAUUCAUAAAAAUAUUAUAAAUCCAUUAGCAAGUAUAUAUUUUUAUCAUUAAAAAUUUGCCCCUCUGUCUUUAAUUUUUUCUGUUUUAUUAGUGAUUGUUGUAUUUACUUUCAUAAAUUCUAAUUAUAGUAUGUAAUUAGUUGUAUAGUUUGAUAAUAAUAUAAAUAACUUUAUUGUUUCAAGAUAAAGUUGUAUCCUUGAAAGAUAAGCUGAUUUUAUUGGCAUAAUGAGCAAGCAUUGAAGUGCAACUUGGUAAACUACAAAACACAUCAAAUUCAGUUAUAAAAAUUUGAGUAACAAAUGUAUGCUAAUUAUUGUAUUGCCUGAACGAGUGUUAUUGCCGUUAAAAGAAGUGAAGAAUUCAAGUACUUUGGAAAAAAAAGACAAGAAAAUACUUAAGUAAAUGGUCAAUUGUUUGGCACAAAUUGGAGUUAAAGACGAAGGAGAUAGUAUAUAUUUUCAGAAACUGUGAAGUCAAAUAAGCAUAGCUUUUGCAGACAUGUGAUAGAGAUAGCGGAAGAAAAAAUGAUAAUUGUGGGCACCAAAUAUCAUAAGCUAAACACGAUUCAAUAACAAGUAGCUCAACCAAUAUCGAAACUACUUUAUAAAUUUUAUAGUGAAUUUUUUUAUUUAAAACUCAAAAUGUCAGUUUUGGGUUUAAGUUUGGUGUUUGCAAUAUGUAUAUAUAACAGAACAAUUAUGUUAAAUAAAUAAAUUUUUAUACUUGUAUCA